rnacentral:rRNA from 1 species
UACAGAGGUCUCAAGCGUUGUUCGGAUUCAUUGGGCGUAAAGGGUGCGUAGGCGGCGCGGUAAGUCGGGUGUGAAAUCUCGGAGCUUAAUUCCGAAACUGCAUUCGAUACUGCCGUGCUUGAGGACUGGAGAGGAGACUGGAAUUUACGGUGUAGCGGUGAAAUGCGUAGAUAUCGUAAGGAAGACCAGUGGCGAAGGCGGGUCUCUGGACAGUUCCUGACGCUGAGGCACGAAGGUCAGGGGGAGCAAACGGGG